rnacentral:rRNA from 1 species
CCUACGGGAGGCAGCAGUGGGGGAUAUUGCGCAAUGGGGGGAACCCUGAUGCAGCGACGCCGCGUGAGCGAAGAAGUACCUCGGUAUGUAAAGCUCUAUCAGCAGGGAAGAAAAUGACGGUACCUGACUAAGAAGCCCCGGCUAAAUACGUGCCAGCAGCCGCGGUAAUACGUAUGGGGCAAGCGUUAUCCGGAUUUACUGGGUGUAAAGGGAGCGCAGGCGGCCUGACAAGUCUGGUGUGAAAACCCGGGGCUCAACCCCGGGCCUGCAUUGGAAACUGGCGGGCUGGAGUGUCGGAGGGGCAGGCGGAAUUCCUAGUGUAGCGGUGAAAUGCGUAGAUAUUAGGAGGAACACCGGUGGCGAAGGCGGCCUGCUGGACGAUGACUGACGCUGAGGCUCGAAAGCGUGGGGAGCAAACAGGAUUAGAUACCCUAGUAGUC